rnacentral:misc_RNA from 1 species
UUGAAAUAUAGGCUGUUGCUGGUCUCUCAGGAGGCAUGUGCACUCCGCCUUUCAAUUCACCUGUGAACUUACUGUAGGCCCUAGUGGUCUAUGUUUUUAAACACACCCAAUAGUCUAUAGAAUGUCUAAUAGUAGGCCUUAUGGUCGAAACUUAAUA